GAUGAACGCUGGCGGCGUGCCUAAUACAUGCAAGUCGAGCGAACAGACGAGGAGCUUGCUCCUUUGACGUUAGCGGCGGACGGGUGAGUAACACGUGGGUAACCUACCUAUAAGACUGGGAUAACUUCGGGAAACCGGAGCUAAUACCGGAUAAUAUUUCGAACCGCAUGGUUCGAUAGUGAAAGAUGGCUCUGCUAUCACUUAUAGAUGGACCUGCGCCGUAUUAGCUAGUUGGUAAGGUAACGGCUUACCAAGGCAACGAUACGUAGCCGACCUGAGAGGGUGAUCGGCCACACUGGAACUGAGACACGGUCCAGACUCCUACGGGAGGCAGCAGUAGGGAAUCUUCCGCAAUGGGCGAGAGCCUGACGGAGCAACGCCGCGUGAGUGAUGAAGGUCUUCGGAUCGUAAAACUCUGUUAUUAGGGAAGAACAAACGUGUAAGUAACUGUGCACGUCUUGACGGUACCUAAUCAGAAAGCCACGGCUAACUACGUG
rnacentral:rRNA from 1 species